rnacentral:lncRNA from 1 species
GGAUUGAUUUGUUUUUGUUUUGGUUCAUAUGUGAUAUGGAUUUUUAUUUUUCAAAAAUACAAUUUUAAUUUCCGCUGCGAUUUUUUUGUGUCGGAUAAAUUCUUACUGUGGUAUCAGAGCCGAUACUCAUGUUCUAUGUAAAAUAUUUACGAUCUGUAUGGUUUGAUUGAAAUUUUGGAACCUUUUUCGAUUAGAUCGAUCGAUAUUGUUUUUCUUAAGUUGCACGUAGUGCGAUUUAUUGGUUUCACACCAUAAAAUAAAUAUGUGGAGACUUGAGAAAAAUAUAUUAUUGAGUUCCAAAAUUUUUAAUCGAUGUUUAGAUCGAUUUGGUUAUUAUUUUCUGCAUAGUUUUUAGAUGGGUGAUGAUCAUGGACCUUAGACAUCUGUGAUGUGAUUAUGGAUGUAUUUGUAAUUUGAUUAUGGAUGUAUUUGUAUUUUGAUUAUGGAUGUAUAAUUUUGAUUGCGAAGGGCCUGCGUGCCACUUUUAUUGGGAUCUGCGAAUCCUUGUAUUUUUAUUAGAUAAAAUUAGGGUUAUUUGGAGAAGAAUCCACAUUAAGCGUUGAUGGAUUGGCGUCGCAAAU